AAAACUAAAUCAGAAAAAAAAAAAAAGAACAAAGAAAAAAAAGGAAGAAGAAAGUGUUUAUUUUUGGGUUGGUAAUGGUAUUCAAAUAAAUCAAUCAAAAACUUCAACAAAGAGUCUGUGAAGGAAAUCUGCAAAUGCUGAUAAAGACCUCGCUUCUUGGGAAGAAAUCUUCAAAAUCCAGUCUCUCAAAAGGAAGACAGAAGCUGGCUCACCGGGCAUUUGGAUCCCUCAAGGGCAUUACAAGGCAGCACUUAUUUGUGGUCACUUGGUUAGAACAAAGGCUAUUGCUGUUUUAUGCUUUACAUGGGGAAUUGCUAAGUUCCCAAUACUAGCUCGUGGUCAAAAAGGUCAGGCUUGCAGAUAUUGUCAUUAUAAUUCAGGAAAAACAUCUAAGACUGCUACAGAAUACAGUGUUCUUGAUCUGCAAAUGGAGUGUUCCCUUUCACUAUCAUAAAUAUGGAUGUUUGGUUACGUACUUUCUUAGUGGCAGGCUUUGCCAAGGUCAGUCACAGCCUAGCUUGGCAUAGCCUAGCCUAGACAAUGCAAAAUGCAUAAAGUGAAGUUCCUGGAGUCCAAGUAGGGUGAAAUUUUGCCAGGCCGACUGUAUACCCAUUUCCCAGGGCUGCUUCCCCAUACAGCUGCUCCCGCAUAUCCUCCCAACCUGCCUCCAUUAUCUGGAAGCAUAUAGGUUUUCCAUAACAUUGCCCCAGUUCGUAGGGCUAGCUUUACAACGCUGCCUCUGAAAGUGCAGCAUUGCUCUGGUGGUAAUCCUUCCUCUAGAGAUGAAACUCCUACAUAGUAGGCCCUGCAAGCAAAUCAGAUCCUGUGAUCAGAACCCUGGGACGGGGAUCCAGUGUAGUAGACCAAACAAGUCUCCCAUUUGAUCGUGCAACAGCAAUCACUACCGCUGGUCCAUAUAUCCCUACAAUCAACAGGUCCCCAUCAACUGUCGGGGUCGAUCUCGAGACCGUAACAUUUACAACAACUCCAGUGCCAGAUUGUCCAGUUAACUCGCUGAGAUUCUGUCUCCAUAUUAGAGCACCGUUGAAUGCAUUCACUGCAUACAAAUAUCCAUUCCAUGAUGGGAAGUAGACUACUCCAUUUGCAACAGCUGGAGUUGCUGAUAUGUCUUUGCCAGCAAAGAAUGACCAUCUUAAUGCUAAGUUCCUGACAGUUAGCGGGUUGAGAAGUAUUUCUCCAGCAGCAUACCUUAUGUUAGGCCGAAAUUUAUGAGAUAAUGAAUAAAGAUGAUGAUACAAAAAUGAAGCUUGAGAAAAAUGAUGAAACUUACAGCCGCAUCUGCACAAUCCAUGGUUGCAAAAGAACACAUAGCCACGAGAAGAAUGACUCUGAAGCCAUUACUUGGGGGAGUCUGGGUACGUGGCAUGGCAAGGAAGCUAUUGAAUGUUAAAGUGUGACUUUUAUCAAAUUGAAAGGGUCUUUAGUUUCUUUAUUUCCUUUGUUCAAUAAAGACAAGUAUCAUGUAUAAACGUGAACCAUACCAGACAGAAGCAGUCAUUAUAAGCGUUAAAGUGACUGAAUUCCAGCUGCUUAGCUGGUAAACAGUUACACAGUGGUAAAAAAUUGUUGUUGGUUUACUUUUAUGCCUUUUUUAUAAAAAUGAUUCAAAAUUUUUGAUUAUUUACGAAAA